rnacentral:rRNA from 1 species
GACGGAGGGUGCAAGCGUUGCUCGGAAUCACUGGGCGUAAAGGGUGCGUAGGCGGCUGUGCAAGUCUGGCGUGAAAGCCCCGGGCUCAGCCCGGGAAGUGCGCUCGAAACUGCACGGCUCGAGUGCCGGAGGGGAGAGUGGAAUUCCUGGCGUAGCGGUGAAAUGCGUAGAUAUCAGGAGGAAUACCGGUGGCGAAAGCGACUCUCUGGACGGCAACUGACGCUGAGGCACGAAAGCGUGGGGAGCGAACAGG